rnacentral:lncRNA from 1 species
UAAUAGCCUCCUCAGAAGCAGCCUAAGGAAGAUGGUCUUUUCCUCCUGCAGUCCCAUGGAUGGCAGAUAAAGUGGAUUCUCAGCACAGAAGCCUCAGAGGAGAAUGCAAUUGGGUAGAAGCAGAGCUAAAGAAGGAAUAAGGCCUGGAGCUCACUCUGCCUGUGUCCGAGAACACCUUGAAACGUUCUCUACAUGGAUUUCACUCAUAUUACACAUCCUCCCUUUGGAGGGACAGCAUC